AUAUCCCAGCACCUGGGGGAGAAGAAGUUCAAUGAAUGAUCAUGACAAUGGCUAACAUUUACUGUCCACUUACCAUGUGCCAGGGAAAGAUACCAGAGCGCGGGGCCCCAGAUCUGUCUGUCCUCAAAGCCUGUUCUUCUGGCCGCUGUUCAUCACACCAGCUACAGUUUUGUCAAGGGACACGGGUUCAAGCCCUGGUCUGGGAAGAUCCCACAUGCCGCGGAGCAACUAGGCCCGUGAGCCACAACUACUGAGCCUGUGCAUCUGGAGCCUGUGCUCCGCAACAAGUGAGGCCGCGAUAGUGAGAGGCCCGCGCACCGCGAAGAAGAGUGGCCCCCGCUUGCCGCAACUAGAGAAAGCCCUCGCACAGAAACGAAGACCCAACACAGCCAAAAAUAAAUAAAUAAAUAAAUAAAUUUU